rnacentral:rRNA from 1 species
GAUGAACGCUGGCGGCGUGCCUAAUACAUGCAAGUCGAGCGAACAGACGAGGUGCUUGCUCCUUUGACGUUAGCGGCGGACGGGUGAGUAACAUGUGGGUAACCUACCUAUAAGACUGGGAUAACUUCGGGAAACCGGUGCUAAUACCGGAUAAUAUUUUGAACCGCAUGGUUCGAUAGUGAAAGAUGGUUUUGCUAUCACUUCUAGAUGGACCCGCGCCGUAUUAGUUAGUUGGUAAGGUAACGGCUUACCAAGGCAACGAUGCGUAGCCGACCUGAGAGGGUGAUCGGCCACACUGGAACUGAGACACGGUACAGAGUCCUACGGGAGGCAGAAGUAGGGAAUCUAGCGAAAUGGGCGAAAGCUUGACGGAGCAACGGCGCGUGGGUGAUGAAGGGCUUCGGAUCGUAAAACGCUGUUAUUAGGGAAAAACAAACGUGUAAGUAACUAUGCACGUCUUGACGGUACCUAAACAGAAAGCAACGGCUAACUACGUG